AGCAGAGGGCAGCAGAGGGUCACAACAACAAACACAUCACACAACGAGGAGUCUGUUACACUGCAGCGUCUUUACCAAGGAGACCACCUGGGGCGCUGCGGACUGAACACCAGAGGAGGACCACAGGCUUCCGACAGAGAGACACAGACGGACAGGUGAGAUACACACCUGAGGCUGCAGUCUGUGCUGGUGUUUAUCGUUUUGCCAAGACUCAGACUCUAAACUACAUUUCCCAUUUUACAGCCUGAAGCUGGAUUAGACCUCUCUACACCCCCAACACCUGUCAACCUGAUCACAGUCAGCCCUACUAGCAGUGCUUACAAUAGUUAAAACAGCCAUUAAGAAUAAAAACAGGGGGACAUGAAACCGAAAAAGAAAGAGAGGGUCAAAAUGUUACAGUUUUGAAAUAGAAGCACAAGAGCCACACAAAUAUAAAAAUGUGUAUUUUUGACAUUAAAAAUUGACAUUAAAAUAGAUUUUAAAGUAGUCUCAUAACAAAUACCUCAUAAAUGUGAGUCUUUAACCUGGAUUUAAAAGAUCUGAGAGUCUCUGCAUACCAGACAUUUUCUGAUAGUUUGUUCAGAGAUCUGGAGCAUAAAAACUGAAUGUUGCUUCUCCAUGUUUGGUUGGACCUAAACCAUUCAGAACUUUAGAAACAAUGGGCAGAUUUUUAAAUGUAAUCUUUUAUAGACAGGGAGCAAGUGAAAAGGCCUCAGAGCAGGACUGAUGGGUUCCACUUUUCUGGUACUGAUGGGGACUCUUGCAGAAGCGUAUGAUUGAGUUUUUAAGGGAGACCUGUAAAAACUGUGUCAUGGACAAGCCGACAAAUGUGUAAACCCGGUUCUGCUUGGACAUAAGUCCUUUUUUUCUAGAAAUAUUCUUUAGGUGGAAGAAGGUUGACUUUGUAAUCAUCUUGUGUGUUUUUUUUUUAAAUUCAGGACUGGGUCCAUCACCACAUCCAGCGUUCUGGCUUGAUCAGUUGUUGUUAACUGUGACCUAUGAAGCUGUUGACAUUGUUGUAUAUAACUGUGUGUCGUCUGCGUAGCUAUGGUAACAGAAUUUGUAGUUUUCUAUGAUCAGAGCCAGUGGGAACUUGUAGUUGUUAAACAAAAGAGGCCCUAGUUUGGAGCCUUGGGGAACUCCAUGAGUAAUUCUUAUGUGCUCAGAUUUUAAGUUACCUUCAGACACAAAACAGCAUCUGUCCUCUAAGUAAAAUUUAAAUAAGCUGAGUCCUGUGCCAGAAAGUUUCACCCAGUCCUCCAGUUAGUCUAGAGGUAUACUGUGGUCACCUGUGUCAAAAGCAGCAGCUGUAAUCAUGCAUUAGUGUCUUAUCCAGAUGGUUUUAAUUUGUGUUUUUCUUUAAACUCUUAAUGUUUUAUCAUUUAAAUCAAUUUUUGACUAGAAAAAAUAACCUGAUUGUUCAAAAAGGGGCCGGUCAGAGGUCACGGCUUUGACACAGUAGAAGUAAAAACAUGGCAGUGCUCUGAGUGGAGGACAAAGAGCAGAAAUGUCAGAUGUCCAUUUAAAGCUCCCAGAGCUUUCCUUGCCGUUAGCAAAUAUUUCAAAGUGCUCCAACGCAGAGUCUUUAAAUUUUCAUCAGCACCUCCGGAGCUCACACACACACACACACACACACACACACACACACACACACACACACACACACACACACACACACACACACUGUGCACCCCUCCCCCCGUGAGAGCAGCAUGAAUAAUUGAGAGGGAGCUGAGGUCGAGCUCUGAUGGAGGAAACACAGCAGCUUCAGACUGAAUCACAUCACACACACACAUACACACACACACACACACACACACACUCACAGCUCACAUGUUGACUUGCCUCACCUCCACCUGCACGCCCUCCAAACACGGUCACACUGUCAGAGUUGGCAAGGGAGAAGCUAAGCUACAGGCUUAGAUGUUUAGAAAAUGUUUAUAAAUUGAUAGUUUGAUGUGAGGGAGGGUAUGAACAGUGAGGAGGACAUAUGGGGCGGUCUGCGACAGGUGAGUUUCUCCAGACUAAUGGACUGAGCCUGACACUCUGGUUUAGUUAUUUUGGUUUUAGUUGAAGUUUUUUUCUAAGUGUAUUUAAUGUGAGAUGUUGUAUUUUCUGCAGUAGAUGGUGGAUGUGACUCAGACCGAAGGAUGGAUCUGCUUCAUCAGGUCCGAGUUCAUCUGUCUGCCAGAAAAUAAAAAUUCAGUCUUUAAAUCGCUGGUUUUCUGAACGAGGUUUGGUCUGCAGCAGCUCUUGGACUCACCUCACACUCACCUGGACCACACACAGGAGGUGUGUGUGGGCGUGGGUGUUAUUUUUUCAGCUUAGAGGUUAGAGCUAAACCUCUCCUUCCUCUUUCUCUCACUCCUCCUCUUCCUAGCUUUCCCUCAGCCUCCAUCACAGCAUGUGUGGCAGGUGCUGAUUGGUCGACUCAGAGCAGCUGCUGACUCAGCAGCUUCCAGCCAAGAGUCCCCAAGGAUCCAAACACUGCUGCACCGCUGCACCUCACUUUACCUUCAUCCUCUUCAUCUUCAUCAGCUGCAGAGUGCAGUGCUUCUACUGCAGCUGAAACACACACAGAGCUCAGCCUGUUUCGACUUGUGAAACUGGGAACAAUGGGACAGCUCUGAAUGCUGAUUAGAGAAAACACAGACUGACCAAUUACAGCAGAGUAGGAAGUGACAUCAUUCAGGUGUGUCAGAAACAGGGGAAAAAAACAAAGAGAAGGUGACUGUCAGUUGGCCCGCUGUUCUGACUGAACAGACAGUGUAGAGAUUAUGCAGCAGACUGUACUGACAGUAUAAAAGUAUUGCAGUAGACUGACAGUUUAGAGACGGUUUAUCUUGCAGAGUGUCCUUGUCUUUCUGCAGAGGACGCUGCACAUUACACAGCAGACAAACAGAUUAAGUGACAGCAGCAGACACUCAUUGAAGUUUAAGUGUUGUCCUUCAGCUGGCUGACAGGAUGACAGCUGUUAGCGAGGGUCGAGGUCAGGUCGAGGUCAAACUUUGUUUAACUGCAGCUUCAUACUGGUGCUGUUACAGGUGUAUAAAGAAUGCGGUUGAAGGGUAAUGUCAGAGGGUGUCAUGUGACAGUGACAUUAUCAGUUGUGAUCAUAGUCACGAUUACCAGCAGCAGAGUCACAACAUAGAGCUGUUCCUUUAAAUCUUCUGAAUCCUGUGGUUUAAUGCACUCACGAAGAGUUGGUUCCCGGCCUUGCGAUCAGUUUGAUUGAUCCCUGAUGGAUUUAAAAGAUCACUGAGUUGUCAAUCAUCUCCGACUGACAGUUUGUGUUUGUAAAUAUUUAAUGAUCCUCUGUCAGGAUUCAGUCUUUUUCUCCUCUGAGUCUGAUAUGAGCUGAAUCUUAAUCACGUUUCCUCCAUCAGAGUUUCAGUGGAGUUUCAUCAGAUGGAGGAUUUAAAGGAACAGUCCACUGUUCUUAACACAGUCACAUUUUACCCUCCAACUCAAAAAGAGGAAGAAGAACAGUGGAGCUAAAGGUGGUUUCUGCUUCACGUCAUUUAGACCGGCAUCCUUUCAGAAUAAGAGCCCAAUAGAGUGACAUUUGAACACAGGCACAGUAUGAGGAAGUCAGAGCGGAACUUUAGGGACAUGUUUAGUCAGACUGUUAGAGACAUUAAUUGUUUCUGACAGUCUGAUAAACAAAGUAGCACAUGAAUGAAAAUGAAAAGACUCUGAUGCGACCCCCCUGAGUGCCGUACAGAUUCACCUCCAACAGAUCACGCAAAGGUUCUCUAAAGAGCUUGGUCUGAACCUUUUUUUUUUUUAAAGAUAGAUUUGUGGAUCUGUUAGAGGAUCUGCAGAUGUCUGAUUGUGCAUGAAGGGAGGCCUGCCAGUAAGGAGUUGCAGUAGUCAAUGGGUUUUAUUAUUAAGUCUUUUUUUAUGUUUAUGUUCAUUCCAGAAGAGGUUGGCAACAUGGGAGAAGAGUGGUCCAUGUCCCGAGCCUCCAAGCUGUCUCUGCCUGUCACGGUGUCAUUCUGGUGAGCUGCUGGUGAACACUGGAGGUGGGAAAAGUCAUCAGGUUAAAUAUGGAGGCUUUUGGGGGCUUGGUUUGUUCAGGAGUCGUCUGAAAGGGAAGCAGAGUUUGGAGAUCUAGGGAAACCUCGUGUUAAGACUUGGUAGAAGUCUCUAAGGUGGUCCAGAAGCUCCUCAGCAGGACGAUUCACCCUGAGGUUGUCUGACACACAUCUUAGAUUUUAGGUGUAACUGAAAAGAGAUGGUGGAGUCCAGGGGUGCUGACUGUGUAUGGACAGUGGCAUGGAGAAGCCAGCCAUGUCUUCAUCCAAAGUUCUAUUUCUUUUUCUUCUUUGUUUUAUAAUUUAUUUUAAUAGAAAUGCUCAAAUGUACAACAGAACAUGUUGAAGCAAACAGUUGGUCACCUAUACAUUCAUUUUGCUAUUGCACUAAAUUGAAUGAAACUUAUUUAACCAGAAAAACCUCACUGAGAUUAAAAAUCUAAUUUGCAAGAGUGUCCUGGCCCAGACAGGCAGCAGUACAUUUACAAAGUUACAGACAUAAAACAAUAACAGACAGAUACAGGCAUAACAACUAGCUGAGUCAAAGGUGCAGAGCAUUUUCAGUCAAAGCACUUACAGCCUGCUUCAUCUUCCUCUGGGGCCUUUAAUCUACAUUUAAAAAAAUUCAAAGAGGCCAGCUCUCCGAGACACAGUUUUCUUGUAGCAGAUUCCAGUUUGCAGGAGCAGCAUAUCUGAAACUUCUUUUAUCCAUUUCAAGACAAACUGUGGGGACAGAUAGCAAAAGUAUAAAGCAAUAGCAAAAGGCUGUAGCUUCCAGGACUUUUUACAUGAGUACAGUUACUCAAGUAUGGUGAAAUUAGGCCAAGUAUAGCCUUAUAAAUCAGGAUGUGCCAAUGGUUCAGUCUACGCAUAGUUACAGAAGGCCACUCAACUUGCGCAUACAGGGUACAAUGUUAAAGCCUUGAGGUUUGUUAUGAACCUUUGAGCUCUAUGAUAAACAGUAUCCAAAGAUUUAAGGCUUUGAGAAGAUGCAUGCAUAUAUAAAACAUCACCAUAGUCAAUCAGAGGCAUGAAAAGUAGCAGCAACAAGACGCUUUUUUGCAGCAAAAGAAAAACAAGACUUAUUUCUAAAGUAAAAGCCCAGCUGCAGCCUAAGCUUCUUUACAAGCUGCUCAAUAUGAAGCUUAAAAGACAGAGAAUCAUCAAUCACAAACCCAAGGUAUUUAUAGAAAGGUGACCUCUGUUUUGAAUUCGUGAACAUCAUCACCUUUGUGAUUUCAGAAUUCAAAACCAACUUCAGGUCCCUCAGAUUUUCUUGCACAGUGUUAAAGGCUUCCUGCAGAAGACAAAAGGCUUGAUUCUGUGAUUGAUUGAUUGAUUGAUUAAGACAAAAUUUGAAAGUAGUUUCACUUAAAGUGGGGAGCAAACACCGUUCAACCGGGAGGGUUCAUUUAUGCGACCAUCUACAUUAGUCUCUCCAAGUCUUAAAGUUCUGUUUCACAAAGGCAGCGGACCAAUCACUGUGGUGACUGGUUUUAUUUUGGGAUACAGCUGCCAAUCAUCAGCAUGGCACUGAGAGUUGAGUCCAUGAUGUUUUGACAAGAUGGCAGCAUGAGAACAGUAAAGAGAAGGACUGAGCCCAGAGCCUUGAGGCACACCUUGCAGAUCUGAAGUUACCACUUGUGACAAACUGUUUCCUGUUGGAGAGGCAGGAUCGGAACAAGAAGAGAUAAGGUUCUCCUUUAUUAGUCCCACAAGGGGAAAAUCCCAAAGGAAGGAAAGAAAUGAGCUGUACCAGGUACCAAGGUGGUGGGUUGAGGAGGAUGGUAUAAGAGAGGUACACCAGGGUCAAUCUAUUCUGCCUGCUGACUGUAAUCCAGCUUGGUAUGAGUGGGUGAGAACAGAUAAAACUUUUUCAACCCAACAUGACAGUUUGGAGGAAAUUAUGAUGACAGCUAUGAUCUAACAACCAGUGCUGGAGUUUUACCGAGAACAGGAGGCACAGUGUAGACCUGCUCAAUGAAGACGUCCAGAGAUAACCUCACUUGUGAUCCAGUACUGUUCUGGUAAUCCUCUGUAUUGGAGGUGGUCUGGCUCCUCCCGUUCCUCUGUUUCAACAUCUGAAGGUUUUCUUGGCCCAUAGGUCUUCAGGGAUGCAGAGUCCCAACACAGAGAGUCUGAAAUCUCCAUCAGUCUGCUGCUCACGUCCCUGCUCUGCUAUCUUUAGCUCAUGCUCACACUCUACAGAAGAUCCCCUUUAUUAGCAUUAGCAGCACCUGGUUGGAGAAUAGAUUAUUCAGCAGCCGCUUGAUUGGACGCAUUAAUAUUACAUCAUAGUUUCCAGGCUUGGAUAGAUGGAUGGAUGGAUGGAUGGAUAGAUAGAUAGAUAGAUAGAUAGAUAGAUAGAUAGAUAGAUAGAUAGAUAGAUAGAUAGAUAGAUUGAUUGAUUGAUUUACUUGUAUGAAGCCCGAGCUCCUUAAACCCAUGAUCUUAGACCUCGUUAGUGCAAGCUGUUCCCUGUCAGCUGUUACCCAGAAGCCCUUGCUCCUGCUGCAGUACGUUACAUACAGCACACUCAGAUUAUCAUUCAGUCCUGGUGCAGCUCUGGUCUGUAUGGUGUGAAUCGGUUUCUUUAAUGUCAGAUGAUCUGAUGCUUCAAUGCCUUCUCCCCCCUUCUCCCCCAGCUCUCUGUAUGCAAUGUUUCAUCUUCUAUAAGCCUGAGUAACUGUGACUGGUCCCAGUGCAAAUAACCAUCAGAUACACUCAGCUCAAUUUGUCUGCAGGCUGACUCUGAGAGCAUCAGGAGCAUUAAUCUGUGUUAGAGGAGCCGUACCUAGAUGGAGGUUACAUACACACACAUGCACACCCCCGAUAGGAUUGAGGUCAGACAUGGCGGCUGCCACUCGAUCGGCUCGAUAGAGGCCCAGAUGUCUUGGUUGGUUGUAUUCUACCUCUCUCUCAUCUCUGAAACCAUACUACAGCAACACAUGAAGGAUGUAAAGGUGCCAAAAUACACUAAAACCAUGACAACAAGCCCAUAAUACAACAUUUAUUGUGAUAUUAAAAUAAAGAUACAUGCAGAUGAGGAUAAAAUGACCCCCAGUGGAGAUGGAUAUGCUUGCCGUUUGUUCGCUGUGUAACUGUGUCUCUUUAUAGAGCUCAUUCUAGGAAUUUGGUCAAAGUUAGAAAUAGUACAAAACCAGCCAAAAGGACAUUCGUCAUGUUUCCAUGUUGUUAAAAAAAUCAACUCUUUGUCUUCGUCUGACUGAAACUGGACUUCAAAAACGUGGAAAAAAAACGUGAACAAGUUAGUCGGACUAAAACUGCAAACUUCUCCAAGUCCGACUAACAUGUCUGGAUAAUGCAUCUGGGGAUCAAUUUUCUCUGUCAUGUUCACAGCUCAACUGAAUCUGGCCUAAGCCUUCUGUUUAUGUCCCAGUGUUCUCAUACCAGACUUUGAGCCAGGAGUUGAAUAGUAAAAAUGUGUUUAGUAAACAAAACCUCAGAAGGGAGAGAAAGGACAAAAGGGUAAAAGGUGAAACUUUCCUAUCGUUCAAACAAACUGUUCAGAUGGAGCUACAAAUGACGGUGCUGGAGGAGUGAGGAGAACCCUCAUUCCUGGUGUGGACCAGCUCUUAGUUGUGCUGCUUUAGGUCAAGUCUGUCGUGGGUACUGGCAGAUUGAGCACCUUUCCCUUCUUCUCCAUCCUCUUUCCGUCUGUGUCAUGAACUAUCAAUCAUUGUGUCCCAUUAGAGUCACUAAUACACAGUCUUCUAGCCUGUACGCUUGUUAUGUUAUCUCUGACACUGUAAACAAACUGAAUCUCCUAAAUGAACAUCAUGCUGUAUCAGAGAAGACUGUAAACUAGAGACUGAGACCAAAAAUCAUGUGGAAAAUGUUUACUAAGGGAAUAAAUCAGCUAAGAAGGAAGACAAUUUCUCACUGACUGAUUUUACACCCAGAGGUGUCACCCCCUGCUGGAUGUUAGACAGACCACAGGUUUAAGAGAGGCUUUACACCUAGUUUUAAUCAAACUUCUCUGUGUAAAUGUUUGUGUGCUGCAGAGGAAGGUUGUAGAUCUGUGGAGGAGGAUUCCUGCAAGACACACACACACACACACACACACACACACACACACACACACACACACACACACACACACACACACACACUCACUGUGCUAAACUGCUGCAUUGUUGAACAAACAUCUGAACUCUGAUCAUAAUGAGAGCAUUCAGUGUGAGGUAGCCACUUUCUGUCCAUCCUUAGCUGCGCCUGUCACCAUGGCAACACCCACGCUGUUCUUCUCUCCCCCAACAUCAAGAUCUGGGCUCGUUAGGGCAGCGUACUGAGAACUGGGGGUGUUGUUGGUGAGCGUUAACGAGCGCUCUAGCGGAGGCUGCUCAGCUGCUCACCAUCAUUAACUCAGAGAUAACACAGACAGUGACCCACCGCCUACUUGACGGUCAGAAGUAAAGCCCCACCCCCUGCUGUUCUUCUACAAAUUGCUGACCCCCUCCAGAGUGUUUUGGGAUGACUGCAGUCUGACCUCCUGCCGACAGAUAAUGAGUUAAACUGUUUUAAGCUCCUGAAACAACACACCGACUCUGAGCAUAUCAUGAUUUCAAUAACCAUAGUCAAAGGUUAUAGCUGCACCCCCACCCCCCAACCCACCGUAGGUCAUCUGACCGUGGGUUUACACCUGAGGACAAGUAGAAAGUGAUGCAGCAGACACAGACAAGGACAGUAACUGUUGUAAAGUCACAUGACCAGCCUCUGUAGCCUGAGACACUCAGACUGCUAUAGGUUUGGAUAGUGAAAAGCUCAGACACUUAUAGACUCAGACUGUUAUAAAAUCAGACUGUUAUAGACUGAGACCGUUGUAAACUCAGACUGUUGUAAACUCAGACAGUUACAGACUAAGACUGUUGUUAACCCAGACUGCUACAGUCUCAGAAUGUUAUAGACUCAGACUGUUGUAAACUCAGACUGUUAUAGACUGAGACCGUUGUAAACUCAGACUGUUGUAAACUCAGACUGUUAUAGACUGAGACCGUUGUAAACUCAGACACUUAUAGACUCAGACAGUUACAGACUUAGACUGUUGUAACCUCAGACUGUUGUAAACUCAGACUGUUACAGACUUAGACUGUUGUAAACUCAGACUGUUAUAGACUAAGACUGUUGUAAACUCAGACUGUUAUGGACUCAGACUGUAGUAAACUCAGACUGUUAUAGACUCAGACUGUUGUAAACUCAGACUGUUAUGGACUCAGACUGUUGUAAACUCAGACUGUUGUAAACUCAGACACUUAUAGACUCAGACUGUUAUAAACUCAGACUGUUAUAGACUGAGACCGUUGUAAACUCAGACUGUUGUAAACUCAGACUGUUAUAGACUCAGACUGUUAUAGACUAAGACUGUUGUAAACUCAGACUGUUAUGGACUAAGACUGUUGUAAACUCAGACUGUUAUGGACUCAGACUGUUAUGGACUCAGACUGUUGUAAACUCAGACUGUUGUAAACUCAGACUGUUAUAGACUGAGACCGUUGUAAACUCAGACUGUUAUAGACUCAGACAGUUACAGACUUAGACCGUUGUAACCUCAGACUGUUACAGACUUAGACUGUUGUAAACUCAGACUGUUAUAGACCGAGACCGUUGUAACCUCAGACUGUUAUAGACUCAGACUACUAUGGACUCAGACUCCUUUAGAGUUAACGUGUUAUAGACUCAGACUGUUAUAGACUAAGACUGUUUUAGACUCAGGCUGCUGUAAUCCAGACUGUUAUUAGAUAUUGCUUUAGACUCAGGCUACUCUUAAAGGAAUAGCUUAUCUUAUCUUGUCUUAUAGACUCAGACUGUUAUAGACUUGGACUGUGAAAGACUCAGACUCUCAUACUCACAGACUUUAAUAGGUUCGGACUUUUAUAAGCUUAGACUUCUGGUGUGUAGUCCAUGCUGUUUUGGUUUUUCUGAGAUUCUGGUUUUGUCAAGAUUUCUGUCUGUUUCAGGUAGAUUAAUGUAGAUUUAGGGCAUAAAGGUAACAUCUGUUAUCAUAGGAUGCUGUAUUAAUGAAAGUUGAUUGAAUUACUCUGGUUUUCUUUGUGUAUUUAAGCAUGUUAGCUGUGAAUGUUUUCAUUUGCUGAGUGGUGCAUUUUUGUGUGUGUGUUUCUUGGUGUGUUUUCAGCUGGACAUUAUGCUCACAGCUCACAUUCUCUCUGUUUGUUCUGAUGAUCAUGCACACACACUGACAGACUGAAUGUAAACACUGAGCACCUGUUCAGCAGGUAAAGUCUCAGCAUGCAGACUGAGUCCAGGUGUUUCUCUGAGUCUGUGCAGAGAGGAGAACAAAGACUGUGCAGAUCUUUGCUGCAGGCCUCAUUAAAGCUGCUCCGACCUCCAGCUGAUCGGAAUAACAACAACGCGGGCUCUUUAUAUAACGCCUCAUUAAAAACAAAGACUUUUUAAAGGCUGACGGUGGAGGGGAGGUCUUACUCUGCUGCUGAAACAAAUCUGUUCAUACAUAUUUCAGUCAGUCAAGAAAAUACUCAUUUUCUCUGAGAAACUACAACUGAAAAUAAUUUUAUAAAUCAGUAUUUGUCCCUCAUAGCAAGACUUUAUUUCAAUGUAAUCAAACAUUAUAAAUCAAACAUUUAUUUAAAUAAGCACAGGAAAGAAGAGAGGGCAGGAAGGAUUCACACUCAACUAAAAAGCUCACCCAAAAUGAAUAUAAAAACAACUUACUGAUGUUUUAAUUUUUACAAAGUCAGACUGUAAUUCUCUGCAGAGAUCUGACUUUGACCACAGCCACUCGUUUAUUAUUCACUGAUCGACUCCGUCUAUUUAUAUCAUCCUGCAGGGCGAGGUGGCCGCUGAGUCAGCACCGAUCAAUACUGUCAGUGACCAACUUCAAGUCCACCUUAAAACAAAGAGCACCUGUAAGUGACCAGCUUUACCUGCAGUCUAACAUUGUUCAAAGAAAGAAUUAUUACUGUGAAUGAGCAGCUUCAGCUCCAGUCCACCUUAAAAAAAAAAAGAUGUCUGUGUAGGUUCUCAUUCAUCUGGGUCAUGGUUUUCCAAUUUUUCACUGAAAGGGCACCUGGACUUUGAAAAAGAGAGCACCUGUCAUUGGAUUGCUUCAACUCCAGUCCAUCCUAAAAUAGCACAAAUCAAUGCUGUCACUGACCAGCUUCACCUGCAGUCCACCCUAAAAUAGGCCAAAUCUAUUCUUUAACUGACCAGGUACACUUCAGACCACCUUGAAAUAACA